UCCUUUUGAUUCCUUGAUAGCAAAAUACGUAGAUUUUUUUUUGCUCCUGCUUCCUUUUUCUUUCCCUCGGAUUUUUGGUCUGACCUAUUUCUGAUGCUCUUCUUGGCCCAUUGUAGGCUGCUUUUGGGACCGACCUCUGCUUGGAUCAACACUUUCAGGGUGAUAACUGGCAGACCAUUAGAGAAUAAAAAGAGAAAUGGAUGCCAAGUCUAUCCACCGAAUGGUGCAUUGGGAAAAAGCAGUCCCACGGACUUCGCAGCUGUGGGGAUGAUAGGGAAAAGGGCUUCCUCUCAUAAAUAGUCAUGCAUCUUCUGGCCCGCUGAGAGCCAUGACCCCUUCUGUUAUUUCUCCUCCACCCUUUUUCAAACCAGACUGCUCCAGGAGGUCCCCCAUCAAGAUGCAGAGCAGUGGUUUGGCUCCAAAGGAAUGCAGAGUAACCAGGGAUUGGCCUGGGGGAAUUGGGGAGACAGGGACAAUGUUUCCCUUGGCCUUCAUGUAUUAUAGUUUCAUGUAUGUGUAACUCUCUCCCUACCGACUCUACGCCUGUCUUUUUGUUCUUGUGCCUUAUUUUCUCACCUCCAUGCCUUUGCUUAUUCCUUGUGCCUGCCAUACCCUUCUUUCAACUCUGCUAGCUAAAGUCCCACUUAUCCCUCAAAUCAAAUACCACUUUUUCCUCAAAACUUUCCAGGAUCCUUAGGUUGAAAACAAUCAUUUUUCCUGAACCUCACACAGUGACAACUCUUGGAGACUUAAUGUUUCAUGAAAUCACAGUCAUAGAAUUAUUGUUGAUCAUAGGAUCAUAGAGCUAGAUUUAUAACCUUAAUGAUUCUUUUGCCUAAUUUCCUCAUUUUACAAAUUAAGAAAUUGAGGAAUUACAGUGACUGCCCUAAAGUGACAAAAGUAGUAAAAGUCAGAGAUGUUGAAUUUUGAUUCUCUGGCUUCAGAGUCAGUGGGAUUUCCAUUUUACUUUUUAAUUUUGUAUUAAAAUCAUCUGUGUAUACUCCUUGAAGGCAAAGACUGUGUUUUAUUCAUCUUCAGAUAUUCUCAGUUUUAAGAUAAACUGAAUGACUAUCUUUUCUUUAUUCCUGAUAUUGCACAUUCUGCCUCCAGUAACUCAGUUAAUCGAUUAACAACACCUGUAUUCAGGUAACUGUAUUAUGCACUGGGGUUACAAACAAAGGCAAAAGACAGCCCGUAAUCUCAGGGAAAUCACAGUCUAAUGGGGGAGACAACCUGCAAAGCAACUACAUAAAAAAUAAAUUGGAUAAAUGAUAAAUUCUGAUAAUAUCAGAAUAAAUAGGCACUAGAAUUGCUGGGGAUCAAGAAAGGCUUGGAUUUGGGAUUUCAGCUGGAAUGUGAAGGAAUCCAGAAAAGUCUGGAGGCAAAAGGAAGGAAGGAAAGUAUUAUAGGCACAGGAUCAGCAAGUGAAAGUGCUGCUGCAGUAGUGUGUGGCACAGUGGUAGUAGAAAGGAUUUAUGGGAGAUGCUAUGAAAGCAGCAUCAAUAAGAUUUAAGAACAAAGUAGAUGUGAGGGAUGAGGGAGAGUGAGCAAAGGGACCCUGAGGAUGGUAGUACUCUUAACAGUGAAAGGGAAGUUAGAAAGAAGGGGAAAUAAAGUAGGGGAAGGAUAAUGAGUUCUGUUUCAGAUGUGUUGGAUUUAAGAUGCUUCCUUACAUUUAUACAAAUUGUUUCCCAUGUGUCAAAUCCAAUCCUUGCUCCUUAAAAUCCUUUCAUAUUUCUUCCAAGUUCUGCUCUUUCUUGGAGCCUUUUCCAUAGUGAGCCUUUUCUAAUCCCGUUUUGUUAUGAUUUUUCUCUUGAAAUUAUUUUGUAUUACUUCAUAUAUAUUCACUUUGUAAGUAGUAUGACUUUCCCUUCUUCCCAGAACAUAGUUUCCUUGAAGGCAAAAUCCUGAUUAUUUCUAUCUUUUUUUCCCUUAGUGUUUGGCACAGUGCUAAAUAAAUGCUAAGUGCUUAAUAAAUGUUUGUGGAAUUAAAUUGUA